GCCGGGCGAGGUUUUCUCACCAUGUGAUGCGUGUGACAGGCUGACAGGUUCGGUAGACCUGGACCCAGCCCUCCCUGUACGCAUCAGUGGCCCGAGGCACGUUCACACUCUGGUGCGGCCAUCAGCACCGUCAUCUCCGGAACUCUCACCUGGCUAAACUGAGACUCCGCAUCUGUGAAACCAGCGCACCAGGGACCGGCUUCGUGGAAGACACUUUUUCCACGGACCGGGGAAGGGUGGGGAGCGCUUUCGGGAUGGAACUGCGAUCCCUCGCACGCGCAGAUCACGACAGGGCUCACGCUCCUACGAGAACCUAAUGCCGCUGCUGCUCGGAUGGGAAGUGGGGUUCAGGGGGUGACGCUUGCUCACCCACCACUCACCUCCGGCUGUGCAUCCUGGUUCCCAACAGGCCACGGACUGGUGCCGGUCCAUGCCCGGGGGGGCUGGGGACCCCUGUAUUGAACAACAGCUCCCCGUUUCUCCAGCCCCCAGCUCCUGGCCACCACCCUCCUACUUUCUGACUUGAUGAAUCUAACUGCUCUAAGCACCUCAUCCGAGUGGAAUCAUGUGGUAUUUGCCUUUCUGUGACCAGCUUCUUUCACGUAGCCUAAUGCCCCCAAGGUUCAUCGAUGUCAGAAUUGGCCUGUGUCGGAAUAUAAGCCGAAUAAUAUCCGUUUUAUGUAAA
rnacentral:lncRNA from 1 species